GAUGAACGCUGACAGAAUGCUUAACACAUGCAAGUCUUUGGCGAAUCUGUGCUUGCACAGGCUAGCCAAGGCGGACGGGUGAGUAACGCGUAAAGAACUUGCCCUGCAGACAGGGAUAACAGACGGAAACGACUGACAACACCUGAUACAGUUGCCGGCACGCAUGUGCCUGGCAAUGAAAAGAGAUGCUGCGGGAGAGCUUUGCGUCCUAUUAGCUUGUUGGCGGGGUAACGGCCCACCAAGGCGAUGAUAGGUAGCCGGCCUGAGAGGGUGAACGGCCACAAGGGGACUGAGAUACGGCCCUUACUCCUACGGGAGGCAGCAGUGGGGAAUAUUGGACAAUGGGGGCAACCCUGAUCCAGCAAUUCUGUGUGCACGAGGAAGGUUUUCGGAUUGUAAAGUGCUUUCAGCAGGGAAGAAGGAAGUGACGGUACCUGCAGAAGA
rnacentral:rRNA from 1 species